rnacentral:rRNA from 1 species
UCGAACGGGAUCCAUCGGGCUUUGCUUGGUGGUGAGAGUGGCGAACGGGUGAGUAAUGCGUGACCGACCUGCCCCAUGCUCCGGAAUAGCUCCUGGAAACGGGUGGUAAUGCCGGAUGUUCCACAUGAUCGCAUGUGAUUGUGGGAAAGAUUCUAUCGGCGUGGGAUGGGGUCGCGUCCUAUCAGCUUGUUGGUGAGGUAACGGCUCACCAAGGCUUCGACGGGUAGCCGGCCUGAGAGGGCGACCGGCCACAUUGGGACUGAGAUACGGCCCAGACUCCUACGGGAGGCAGCAGUGGGGAAUAUUGCACAAUGGGCGCAAGCCUGAUGCAGCGACGCCGCGUGAGGGAUGGAGGCCUUCGGGUUGUAAACCUCUUUUGUUUGGGAGCAAGCCUUCGGGUGAGUGUACCUUUCGAAUAAGCGCCGGCUAACUACGUGCCAGCAGCCGCGGUAAUACGUAGGGCGCAAGCGUUAUCCGGAUUUAUUGGGCGUAAAGGGCUCGUAGGCGGCUCGUCGCGUCCGGUGUGAAAGUCCAUCGCUUAACGGUGGAUCUGCGCCGGGUACGGGCGGGCUGGAGUGCGGUAGGGGAGACUGGAAUUCCCGGUGUAACGGUGGAAUGUGUAGAUAUCGGGAAGAACACCGAUGGCGAAGGCAGGU